UGCAAAAAAUAUUUCUGAUAAAAAAAAAAAAAGUUAAUUGUUUUAAAAUUAACUUAAAUUCAGAAUGUAACCAGUUAAAUUUAUUAAUUAUCAAUUAUUAAUUAUUAUCUUUUGGCUUAACUUAGCUCAUCUUGAGUUAAUUAUAUUCAUUACCAUGCCCACAUUUGCAAUUCUUAUAUAGUGUUAACUCCACCAUUGACGGUCCUCAGUCCGUAUGAAAAAGGAGGAAGGGCGCUUUAAAGACAUUUUUCUUUUGUAAUUUAAGUAUUAAAAAUUAAUGAUGCUUCUCUUGGUCUUAAAGUUAUACCAUAUUACCAUUGCCCAAUUGCUGAAGAAGUAGGUAGCCAAUUUGAAUAGUGCAGAUCUUUGAAGACCAGGAUGUAUAAAUGUGAAUUGGAAAGUGGCUACAUGCCUACAUAUAACUAGUUCAGACUUCAGACAUAUAAAACUAAAUACUAAUACAAAAAAGUAUUAAGUAUUUUAGUUUUUACGUUUUACAUAAAAUGAUUUCUUUUAACUUUUAAGCUAAAUAAACCUAAAUUUGAUAUUUAUGAUGAUAAUUAAAUCAUUUUGAAGGACAAGAUAAUACAAUUUAAUAUUUAUAGUAUA